UAGUUUUAUCUUGGAACUUUUUUACUAUGAAAUUUCAGUCAUUCCUGCAAACAAAGCUAUAGUAAAGCUCCAUUUUCACGCAGUAAAGCCUUAGGCAGUGCAUGCCUCUUUAAGCCAUGUGCUAAGAGCCUGUAAGCUGUUAUAUUAAUGUGUAGGAAAAGAGUAAAUAAAGUCCUUCUGCUUUUUCAUAGACACCCCAGUAAGGCCACUUGGUUCAGAGAGUGCAACUGUGAGAGCUGAACCCUCCUAAGCAGAGAAGUGUGGAGCAGAGAAAGCACUACAAACUCUGAAAGUGUCUCUUCAGCAUUGCCCUCCUCUAGUUGUGGCGUUUCCUGCUCUCAAAUUUUCCAUAGCUUUUGGACCAGCCAGACAAACUGAGUGGAUUGCAGCCGUUAGUGGAGUCUGUCAUUGGGCUCAUGACUGUCUUCCAGCAUCCUCCAAACUUCCCUUUGUGGCUUCAGAAGUCAGAACAAAACCAGGUAAUCACCAUUAUGGAAAAAGCAUACCUUUUACAAUGAGGCUUUUCUGUGACAUAACUACAGGGCAAACAAUAAGGAAGUCAUACUACACUGUUCAAAUGCAGUUUUCUGUCUCUCUGUAAUUUAAGAACAGUGGGGAAAGGAUCAACUGCUACUUUUUCCUCUAAAAUCAGGAUGACUUUUUAGACUUGCUUUAACUUCUGGUCAGUUAUGAUUAAAAAAAUAAUGUUGGGUGGCAAAAUCAAGAUGGUAUUUGGAAAAUAAGCUAGAGCUUUAAGAGAGAUGGGUUCAAGCCAUUCUGUAAGAAUCUAGAAAAAUAGUCAGGGCUAAAUUCAUCAAACUUUGGAUUCUCAAAAUUCUUGCUUAGCUAAACCCUGAAUACAGAAACACCUGACAUCCCAUGUGCAAAAGUUUCUAGCAGUGAUUUUCUCUAGGGACCCUGAGAUGUUUAAAACAUUGUGUAGGAUGGAGAUGUUUGCUACAUUCCCUGAGUAUUCACAAACAAGCUAGUCUUCAUGAAAGGAAGAUGCAGACUCUUUAGCAGUAUCUGUUGUGAUAGAACAAGAGAAAUGGUUUCAAAUGAAAAGAGGGAAAUUUUAGGUUGGACAUAAUGAAGUUUUUUACAAUGAGAGUGGUGAGUCGUGGGCAAAGGUUGCUCAGAGAGAUGGAAGCCCCAUCCUUAGAAACAUUCAAGGUCAG